GGGGGGGGGGGGGGGGGGGGGGGGCGGGGGGGGGGGGGGCGGCGGCGCGGUAGGAGGUGGCGCUUACGGGUGGCGAGUGGCGGACGGGUGAGGAAUGCAUCGGAAUCUACUUUUUCGUGGGGGAUACCGUAGGGAGACUUCCGCUGAUACCGCAUACGCCCUACGGGUGAACGCAGGCGCUCUGCGGACCUCGCGCGGAUGAAUGAGCCGAUGUCGGAUUAGCUAGUUGGCGGGGGAAAGGCCCACCAAGGCGACGAUCCGUAGCUGGUCUGAGAGGAUGAUCAGCCACACUGGAACUGAGACACGGUCCAGACUCCGACGGGAGGCAGCAGUGGGGAAUAUUGGACAAUGGGCGCAAGCCUGAUCCAGCCAUACCGCGUGGGUGAAGAAGGCCUUCGGGUUGUAAAGCCCUUUUGUUGGGAAAGAAAAGCAGCAGGUUAAUACCCCGCUGUUCUGACGGUACCCAAAGAAUAAGCACCGGCUAACUUCGUG
rnacentral:rRNA from 1 species